UCUAAUAUGGCAGAAUAGUGCCAUGGACUUAAACCCCAUAUAUAAAGUUUUAGAACUUUUUUUAGAA
rnacentral:tRNA from 1 species